UACGUAGGGUGCGAGCGUUAAUCGGAAUUACUGGGCGUAAAGCGUGCGCAGGCGGUUUUGUAAGUCAGUUGUGAAAUCCCCGGGCUUAACCUGGGAAUGGCAUUUGGGACUGCAAGGCUCGAGUGCGGCAGAGGAGACUGGAAUUCCUGGUGUAGCAGUGAAAUGCGUAGAUAUCAGGAGGAACACCGAUGGCGAAGGCGGCAUCCUGGACCGGCAUUGACGCUGAGGCGCGAAAGCUAGGGGAGCAAACGGG
rnacentral:rRNA from 1 species